rnacentral:rRNA from 1 species
ACUAACGCUGGCGGCGUGCCUAACACAUGCAAGUCGAACGAUUCUUUGAUUAUAGCAAUAUUAUUAAAGAGGAGUGGCGAACGGGUGAGUAACACGUAGAUAAUCUGCCUUCAGACGGGGACAACUCAGGGAAACUCGUGCUAAUACCCGAUGAGACCACAAGAAGGGAUUUUUUGUGGCCAAAGGCGGGCAGCAAUGCUCGUGCUGAAAGAUGAGUCUGCGUCCUAUCAGCUAGUUGGUGGGGUAAAUGCCUACCAAGGCUAAGACGGGUAGCCGGCCUGAGAGGGUGAACGGCCACACUGGGACUGAGACACGGCCCAGACUCCUACGGGAGGCAGCAGUGAGGAAUUUUCCGCAAUGGGCGCAAGCCUGACGGAGCGACGCCGCGUGAGGGAUGAACCAGCUUUCGGGUUGUAAACCUCUUUUAUUAAGGAAAAAGAUCUAUAUGCUAAUAUCAUGUAGAUUUGAUGGUACUUAUUGAAUAAGCCCCGGCUAACUACGUGCCAGCAGCGGC